AGUUCUAUGUUGAGGAUGUGACACACUUGGUUAAAUCUGGAUGUGGGGUAAGAGGAUCCUUUUCCAUCUCUUUGAAACUGUGUUCCCUGUAGAGCAUUCAGUUUUAUUGGAUUACAUUUUUAAAUGUCAUUCAUUUUAAACACGUCUGAAGUGAAUAUGUUCUCGCUCCUGUUGCAUACAGAAUAAGUUUUUCUGCAGAGUGCAUGACAUCCUGAAAAAGCAUGACAGAACGGAGGAUAAGAAGAUUGUGAGAAACCUGGACGUGUUUUUUAAAGAAGGAAAUGUGAACUGCACAGAAGAACUAAUUAACGUGCCUCAUGCAACAACCGAAAAGCCAAUACCGUUUCUGCUGGAAAACCUUGCAAACUGCAUUCGCCGGAGAAACUUCAUGGGAAUCUAAAAACAAAAAUGCCUGAUUAGCUUCGUGAUCCGUGAACUGUCUGACAUCUGGUAACGUCUUCAAAUGUUUUUCAUAGUCACAGUUUGAUACAGUUAAAGUACUGGAUAUUUAUUUUCUGGUAUAGUUUUCUCUUUUAUGCAGUUUAUUUGUUAUUUAAUAGCAACUACAUUCAGUGCUUUCACAGGGACGUUUUUGGUUGAGUUAUUUUUAAGCUGCAUAAGUAAAAAUGCAUCCGUCGCUGGCAUUAAACUUUACAACAGUUAAGGCAGCAACUGCACAUUAUUGUAAACUGCAUAUUUAUAUUUUAUUUAAAACAAGUUCAGUUCACAUUUUGAUAUGUUUGGAUGUUUGUUGUAGUUCUUUCACUCCACAUUGAAACAAGUGUUUACAGAACAAGAAGUCGUUUUUCUCACAAGCUGCAUUUGUAUGGAAAUGCUUUGUACUUUAUGUUAAGACAGUCAGCUUUAACAGACAUUUUGAUCCUGUUUUAUUUUUAUAUUAAAUUUUGAUGACGCCUUA